rnacentral:lncRNA from 1 species
CCUCGACGGCCUCCGAUCAAUACGUUGUACAUCACUGCAGUUGGCAUCACUUCUCCCGCGGCCAGCAUUUUGUCGAACACCUUAACUGCAUCUUCGAUACUGCCACUCCUGCACCACCAAAGAUCACCAUGGCGUAGUUAGGGUCGACGCCACCGUGUUCCCGCUUCUCGCGCAGAAGCCCCGCUACGCACUGCCGGUCCUUGCGCAGGGGCUCGGCGUC